rnacentral:rRNA from 1 species
GAUGAACGCUAGCUACAGGCUUAACACAUGCAAGUCGAGGGGAAACGGCAUUUAGUGCUUGCACCGAAUGGACGUCGACCGGCGCACGGGUGAGUAACGCGUAUCCAACCUACCCAUUACUGUGGGAUAACCUGCCGAAAGGCAGACUAAUACCGCAUAGUCUUCGAUGACGGCAUCAGAUUUGAAGUAAAGAUUUAUCGGUAAUGGAUGGGGAUGCGUCUGAUUAGCUUGUUGGCGGGGUAACGGCCCACCAAGGCAACGAUCAGUAGGGGUUCUGAGAGGAAGGUCCCCCACAUUGGAACUGAGACACGGUCCAAACUCCUACGGGAGGCAGCAGUGAGGAAUAUUGGUCAAUGGGCGCGAGCCUGAACCAGCCAAGUAGCGUGCAGGAUGACGGCCCUAUGGGUUGUAAACUGCUUUUGUAUGGGGAUAAAGUCAAUCACGUGUGAUUGUUUGCAGGUACCAUACGAAUAAGGACCGGCUAAUUCCGUGCCAGCAGCCGCGGUAAUACGGAAGGUCCGGGCGUUAUCCGGAUUUAUUGGGUUUAAAGGGAGCGUAGGCCGGAGAUUAAGUGUGUUGUGAAAUGUAGACGCUCAACGUCUGACUUGCAGCGCAUACUGGUUUCCUUGAGUACGCACAACGUUGGCGGAAUUCGUCGUGUAGCGGUGAAAUGCUUAGAUAUGACGAAGAACUCCGAUUGCGAAGGCAGCUGACGGGAGCGCAACUGACGCUUAAGCUCGAAGGUGCGGGUAUCGAACAGG